UGGGGCCAAGAACGGUUUUACGAAACGGAGGAGGCGGGGCGCGCUGUGCGCGAGAGGAGUGGGCGAAGGCGCCCCGAGAGACCACGGACACAUAUAACACCGUCGGGGCCCUUGGACCGCAGGCCCAACAUCCCCUCAAACCUGCGGAAUCGGGAUGGGAGCAGCAGACCUACCACAUGCAAGAAGUCCUGGAUCUCGAGUCCCGGGAAGGCGGAGCGGAUAUGGCCCCAACAGAGAACGCUCAAGGCUCGGUGGUGCGUGUGCUUCAAGAUAUUGACUGAUGACACCGAGGAAUCCAAUUCUGGGAGAAGAGGAA